CCUACGGGUGGCAGCAGUGAGGAAUAUUGGUCAAUGGACGAGAGUCUGAACCAGCCAAGUAGCGUGAAGGAUGACUGCCCUAUGGGUUGUAAACUUCUUUCAUAUGGGAAUAAAAUGUUCCACGUGUGGGAUUUUGUAUGUACCAUAUGAAUAAGGAUCGGCUAACUCCGUGCCAGCAGCCGCGGUAAUACGGAGGAUCCGAGCGUUAUCCGGAUUUAUUGGGUUUAAAGGGAGCGUAGGUGGAUUGUUAAGUCAGUUGUGAAAGUUUGGGGCUCAACCGUAAAAUUGCAGUUGAAACUGGCAGUCUUGAGUACAGUAGAGGUGGGCGGAAUUCGUGGUGUAGCGGUGAAAUGCUUAGAUAUCACGAAGAACUCCGAUUGCGAAGGCAGUUCACUGGACUGCAACUGACACUGAGGCUCGAAAGUGUGGGUAUCAAACAGGAUUAGAUACCCGAGUAGUC
rnacentral:rRNA from 1 species